rnacentral:rRNA from 1 species
UGGGGAAUUUUGGACAAUGGGCGAAAGCCUGAUCCAGCAAUGCCGCGUGUGUGAAGAAGGCCUUUGGGUUGUAAAGCACUUUUGUCUGGAAAGAAAUGGCUCUGGUUAAUACCUGGGGUCGAUGACGGUACCGGAAGAAUAAGGACCGGCUAACUACGUGCCAGCAGUCGCGGUAAUACGUAGGGUCCAAGCGUUAAUCGGAAUUACUGGGCGUAAAGCGUGCGCAGGCGGUUGUGCAAGACCGAUGUGAAAUCCCCGAGCUUAACUUGGGAAUUUCAUUGGUGACUGCACGGCUAGAGUGUGUCAGAGGGGGGUAGCAUUCCACGUGUAGCAGUGAAAUGCGUAGAGAUGUGAAAGAAUACCGAUGGCGAAGGCAGCCCCCUGGGAUAACACUGACGCUCAUGCACGAAAGCGUGGGGAGCAAACAGA